CCCGAGCUGCCGGCGCGGCCCAGCCGCUGUCGGCUCCCGGGAGGGCGGCGGGUCGGUCCCGGCGCGGGCAGCAGGGCAGCGCCCAGCAGCCGCCGCCUCCUGGGGCGGGGAGCGUCCUGCCGUUCUGCGCCUCUGCCGAGGCCGCUCCCGAGCCUUGACAAACAGGACAACAUUUGGAGGUGCUUCCGUUUCCUUCUGUUACCUCAGUUCUAUGGAAAAGCAAAUCCAAGAAUCUAGUCACAGAGCAGGUAAAUAAGUUGGUGAUUUAUAGUGACUACACACUUUAUUUCCCAAGCGGCCUACCGGAGCAAUAAGCAUUGCAAAACUGGUACCUGAUGACAGUAAUUGUACCAUCCAGCACUAAAAUCAGAUGAUGGCUGAAAGAGACCACAGUGAGGCAAGGACAUCUUGGUGAGAAAUUGCAAAUGAAUUCACAGAAUUGUUGAGGUUUGAAGGGACCUCUUGAGAUCAAGUGCAACCCACCUGCCCAGGCAGGGCCAGCUAGAGCAGGUUGUCGAGGACCGUGUCCAGUUGAGUUUCGAUUGUCGCCACAGAUGGAGACUCCACCACCUCUGCCAGUGUACGACAUCCCUUACAAUAAAAAAAGUGUUUUCUUGUGUUUCAGUGGAA